UUUCCGUAGGUGAACCUGCGGAAGGAUCAUUAGUGAAGAGGUUGGUGUUUGGUGGGGUAAGUCUAGGGUGUUUGCACACUCUACUUUUCCAUUACAACAACAAUUUGUUCGGUGCAGCAAUGCAUCGCUACACUUGCGUUUUAUAUGUUUGUCAGAGUAAAAUAAGAUUAAACAGACAACUUUUAACAAUGGAUCUCUUGGCUCUU
rnacentral:misc_RNA from 1 species